UUAGUUAAGUUGAGUUGAGUAUAGAAUCAGUAGAACUUGAGCCCCUAGGUUUCAUGCAUAGAGAAUAGGACUUAUCUCUGAAUGAAGAAGAUUGCUAAGUGCUAACUACUAUUAUCAGUCUUUCUGAUAAACUUUUCACACAUUAUUGUUUAAGUGAUCGACUGCCAUAUAAGGCCGUCUUAUUAGUAAUCUGUGUAACCUUGACCAGUAUCAACUCAUUCCUUUGUGACUAUAACUAUAUGGAAGGUGAUUGUGUAGAGAUCUACAGUUAAUCUGAGCUUGAAUUUUGGAUUAUCUCACUAAAAUUGCAACCACCAACCAUGUUUUGAAUUGAUCUUGCUUUCUGAUAAAUGCAAAUCAUUAAUUUGAUCAGCUUCACUAGCCAAUACAUUAAUUUGGUCUUUUUGAUUAUAUAAUUAGCAAGCCAAGUGUAGAAACAGGUUUAUUUUGUAAUGUUUCUCUUUUUUCAAUUGUCAGCCUUUUUCUCUUCUUGGUUGAUGCAGGAAAAUGUGCUGG
rnacentral:misc_RNA from 1 species